rnacentral:rRNA from 1 species
CCUACGGGGGGCAGCAGUGAGGAAUAUUGGUCAAUGGCCGGAAGGCUGAACCAGCCAAGCCGCGUGAGGGAGGAAGGCGCAGAGCGUCGCAGACCUCUUUUGCCGGGGGACAAAAGGCCGGACUCGUCCGGUCCUGAGGGUACCCGGAGAAAAAGCAUCGGCUAAUUCCGUGCCAGCAGCCGCGGUAAUACGGAAGUGGUUAGCGUUAUACGGAUUGAUUGGGUUUAAAGGGAGCGUAGGCGGUUCCAUAAGUCAGCGGUAAAAUCGUGCGGCUCAACCGUACCGUGCCGUUGAAACUGUGGGACUUGAGUAUACGCAGGGUACAUGGAAUUCGUGGUGUAGCGGUGAAAUGCGUAGAUAUCACGAAGAACUCCGAUGGCGAAGGCAUUGUACCGGAGCAAGACUGACGCUGAGGCUCGAAAGUGCGGGUAGCAAACAGGAUUAGAUACCCUAGUAGUC